rnacentral:rRNA from 1 species
UCAGUCGACUCCUACGGGGAGGCAGCAGUGGGGAAUAUUGCACAAUGGGGGAAACCCUGAUGCAGCCAUGCCGCGUGUGUGAAGAAGGACCUUCGGGUUGUAAAGCACUUUCAGUAGGGAGGAAGGUAGUGUAGUUAACACCUGCAUUAUUUGACGUUACCUACAGAAGAAGCGCCGGCUAACUCCGUGCCAGCAGCCGCGGUAAUACGGAGGGUGCGAGCGUUAAUCGGAAUUACUGGGCGUAAAGCGCAUGCAGGCGGCCUGUUAAGUCAGAUGUGAAAGACCCGGGGCUUAACCUCGGAAUUGCAUUUGAAACUGGCAGGCUAGAGUCUUGUAGAGGGGGGUAGGAAUUUCAGGUGUAGCGGUGAAAUGCGUAGAGAUCUGAAGGAAUACCAGUGGCGAAGGCGGCCCCCUGGACAAAGACUGACGCUCAGAUGCGAAAGCGUGGGGAGCAAACAGGAUUAGAUACCCUGGUAG